rnacentral:lncRNA from 1 species
AGCCAUAGGACGCGCUACCAACAUCAGGCUAAUGGAACGUGAAGUAUGGACUUUUUGACCGAAAAUACAUCUGUUGUGGACCUGGGAUGCUUUCUGAUGAAGACAACUAAAGGUUAGUGCUGCAUUUAGCUGUUUAUGGAUUAUAUGUGAUGCAAGUGGUUGGUCGGAAAAUGGCUAUGAAGCUGCUUUUUACGAUGGACUCAUCUAAUAUAAUCUAAUGAUUUGCUUUUCCUGUAAAACCUUUUUGAAAUCGGACGACGUGGGUCGAUUCAGGAGAGG